rnacentral:rRNA from 1 species
AAGACCUUGCGCUUUUGGAGCGGCCGAUGCCUGAUUAGCUUGUUGGUAAGGUAAAAGCUUACCAAGGCUUCGAUCAGUAGCUGGUCUGAGAGGACGACCAGCCACACUGGGACUGAGACACGGCCCAGACUCCUACGGGAGGCAGCAGUGGGGAAUUUUGGACAAUGGGGGCAACCCUGAUCCAGCCAUGCCGCGUGAGUGAAGAAGGCCUUCGGGUUGUAAAGCUCUUUCAGCCGGAACGAAACGGUUACGGAUAACACCCGUGACUACUGACGGUACCGGAAGAAGAAGCACCGGCUAACUACGUGCCAGCAGCCGCGGUAAUACGUAGGGUGCGAGCGUUAAUCGGAAUUACUGGGCGUAAAGCGUGCGCAGGUGGUUUUGUAAGUCAGAUGUGAAAGCCCCGGGCUCAACCAGGGAACU